AAAAUGCGUCUUAUGCGAAAACAUCAGGGAAAUGGGCUAAAGUCGGUAUUUGGCAAUGGCAGCAUAGCAUAGGUUGAGCCUUGAGAAGCACAGCUAAAUAGAAAAUGAAAAUCCAAAGGUCCUGGUGGUCACUGCCCUGCCUGGAAGUCCAACGCCUCUGCCACCCCUGUAAACUAUAAAGCGUACCUAAACUGUAGCUGCUGACAUCAAACUGAGGCAAUUGAUCAACUUCAACACUAGUAAUUUGGCAACUUGGCCAUGAACAAUUCAGUUUCUCUGUAAGUCUGUAUACCUGAUAGCUCCUUAGUACAUAAAUUCUCAGCUCAGUCGUCUCCUCUAUCUUUCUUUCUUUCCCCGUCUUGUUUUACUGUCGAUAGGUAGCUCCAAAUCCGAUGCUUCUAGGGCUCUCUACUCUAAAAUUUUCCAACUAACUCCCUCGAUGGCUUAACUUACCUGGGCGCUAUUUCUCCGUUUCUUACGCCAAUACUCUCCAACUGAAGCUCGAAACCGACCCCAACCCUCCAUAUCUUAACCAUUUUGAAGCAAAGAUUAGGCUUUUGAGGAAUAAUCUAUACCCAGAUAGCUUAAUCCGGGUUUUCGAAAAAACACAAGAUGUGAACUCAGCUCUUAAGAUUUUCAAAUGGGCUGCUUUACAGAAAAGCUUUUAACCAUAACGCUGAUACCUAUUACCAUAUCAUUUUGAAACUGGGUUUGGCUGGGAAUAAUAAGGAAAUGGAUCAUUUUUGUCUAAAUUUGACAAGAGGUAUAUGUGUAGGUUCGGAGGAGGCUCUUGCUUCUUUGCUUCAUACAUUUGUUAGACAUUCUACGCUAAAUGAGGCGGUUCGGGUUCUUGUGAACAUGACAUUAAGUGGGUAUUAUCCCUCUGUUAAUUUAUUUAAUGAUUUAUUAGGUGCCCUUGUUAAAGAGAAAACAGAUUUCCAACAUGUGCUGUUUGUUUAUAAGGAAAUGGUGAAAGCAGGGUUUGUGCCCACCGCUGAUACUUUGAACUCUUUGUUGGAGGUUUUGUUCGAGACCAACAGGGUUGAAUCAGGUUUGGAUCAGUUUAGGAGGAUGAGAAAAAAGGGCUGUAGUCCUAACGUUAGGACAUUUGAGAUUGUUGUAAAAGGUCUUAUUCUGAAUAAUAGUUGAUGAUGCAGUGCUCAUUUUGCAUGAAAUGUUGGAGCUCGGGUGUCAGCCAGAUCUAAAUUCAUAUGCCUGCAUUGUUCCAUUGUUUUGUCAAGAGAACAGACUAGAAGAAGGAAUUCAGCCAUUUAGGCUGAUGAGAGCUGCUAAUUUAGUGCCAGAUUCACUAAUUUGCAGUAAAUUGAUUCAUUGUUUAUGUAUGAACCUUCAUUUAGAUGAUGCAACUAAUAUUCUUGAAGAGAUAAUAGAAAUUGGUGAGGUUCCUCCUGUUGAUUGAUUUGUGGAUGUGGUAAAUGGAUUUUGUGAAGUGGAAAGAUAUAUUCAGGCAAUACGUUUCUUGGAGAAUGACUGUGGUAACUUAACUUCUCCAUAUAAAGCAUUGCUUGAAGGCUGCUGUAAGACUGGUAAAUUUUUUCUGGGAAAAAGUCUUCUUGAGAAGAUGUCUGAGAGAGGCAUAGCAGAUUGUGAUUCUUGGAAUAUUCUAAUCAGAUGGAUUUGUGAGAACGUGGGCAUCAAUAAAACUUACGAGCUUCUUGGAAGAAUGAUUGUACAGUCAAUAGUUCCUGAUUGUGGCACGUAUGCAGCUCCAGCUGUUGUAAAUUGAACAAAUAUGAGGAUGCUUUAGAGCUAUUUUAUCACAUUCAGUCCAAGUUCUGGGUUUUGAAUUCUAUAUGUUAUUCUAGGCUAGUUGAAGGCCUUUGCAGGCUAGAAAAGAUUAAAGAGGCUGUUGAAGUAUAUUUUUACAUGUCUAAAGGGGGAUGCCUCCUUGAAGUCUCCACAUUUGAUUUGUUGAUCAAGCCGUAUGUGAUGUUGGAAAGGUGGAUGAAGCAGUCAAGCUGGGCUUAUUGUUCUGGUACUUGCACUAAUUUGACUUACACCACUAUCAUGUUUGCCUUGCAUAAAUCAGAAAGGGCUAAAGAUGUCUUGGUAAUGCUUUCCCAAAUGGUGAUAGGGGGUUGUAACGUUCAUGCCGAAGCAUACUGCAUCCCAAUACGAAGUAUGUGUAUGCUGAACCGAUUUAAGGAUUGUGCUUUGUUUUUCAAGUUAAUGCUUACUGUGAGGGUCAUACGCCUGAUUCGGAUGCAUGAUCUUUUCUCUUGUUUAAGUAGCCAUUCUCGGUUACAUUUGAUGUCAAAAGAUAUUGAUAAAAUUUUUUCUUGAAGGGAAAUUCUGGAUUCAGCUAUGUUUAAUCUACUGAUUAGUGAGACUCUGGAAAGAAGGUUGCAAGAGUGAGGUUUGACUUUUGUUAGAUUUGAUGUUGGAAAGGGGUUGUGUCCCGGAUGCUAAGUCUCAUACAUUGUUGAUUGGAUCCAAUGUCAAUGAGGUAAAAAGUAGGGGAACAAAAAUGUAUGAAAGUUCAACGGAGCAAGAUAAUGUUAGCAACAUUCUUGCUGAGGGAUUGUGGAUGCGAUAAAAAGCUUGAUACUCAGAAUGGUCUUUUGAUUGGGCCAUGCACCCAUUCCUUGGCGGUACAUUCUGUCUCAACUGUAAAAUUGCAGGUCAUGCCUUCAUUCUCACCCCCUGGAGGAUCAAAAAGCCAUGAUAUAAUUUCUUGGCUCUGAGAGGCAUUGUGUGAUAGAUCUGUCUUCAAUGGCAUUGUAAUUGCGGUCAUGCCAGGUGACUGACUUCAAUUGUGGCAUGGUAACGCAUCCAAACUGAUAUCAACAAUGAAAAGAGGCACUGCCCAAUUUCAAACGCUGUAACUGGUCGCAGCUUUAGAAACGUUAUGAGAUCUCUAGUGAAUGAUAAAGCAUUCAGAAUAGCUAGACUACUGUGGGCUGUGGCUAUAUAUAAUUGAUUGGUUCCGUUGCAGCUUAAGAGAAGUUCUUUCCAGCUCUUUCUUUCCCAAAGUUACCAGGGAUAUAAUUUACAGUGGUAGAAGACUACGAACAAAGCUGAGUCAUGAAAUUGCAGCGGCUGGGACUCCCCUCUACGUGCACAAUGGCCCCUUCUGUCUUGCUUCUGGGUCAUCAUUGAUCUCCCCCCCAAUUUUUUUUUCAAGAGGCAUGUACGAGUUCUUAAUUAAACACAUUUUCGUCUUUUUCUUUAUUUUAUGACUCCUUAAGGAGGAUGGAGUACAUAUAUUUAUAUAUAUUUUUUAUAGUUCAACCAUAUGCAAUAAAUAUAUUCCAUUAUUAUCAACUCUGCACGCAUUAACAUACGGUGCUUCUUCUUAUUGAAUCUCGUUUUUACAUUAUAUAUGACUACUAUAUAUGCUAGUUUUUUACCGUUUAAAGUCGAAAACCAUUUGUUUCUUCUUUAAGGAAUCACAACGGCAAUUGCAAGCCAACCCUCUUACCAUUUUUUGGUUCACAUCGACCUCAAUUCCCACCAUCCUCCACUCCCUGCAAUUUCCAUUUCUUUCUUUUCAACGGAAAAUAAAAACAAAAACAGAUUAAAAGUUGCUAGUGAUGCAAGGAGAAAAGCAAAGUAACUACAGCCAGAUUUAUAUCCUCUUUUGGCAUUUCUUCAGGACUGCAGCCACCACUAAGCAUGCAAGUGUACAGCUAUGAACCCCCAUUCUUUGACUUUCCCUCAUAGCAUUCCUACUUGUUUCUUGUGAAUUAGCAUUACAUGAAGCAAGUCUCAAACUGAAGCAUUUACCAUGUCAAAACCAGAUGCCAUCUCAUCCAAAUAUCAACCUACCAACAACCUUCCAUCGUUCUUCAGCUUAGCAUAUCCUUAAUUCACAAACUUAAAACUAAUGGAUAGAAAACUUGAUAUAAUUAUACACCAACAAAAUUGGAUCUAAGUCAUCAACAGGGGUAGAAAUAGCUAGUUAAAAAAAAAAAAAAAAA